rnacentral:rRNA from 1 species
AGUCAUCAUGGCCCUUACGACCAGGGCUACACACGUGCUACAAUGGGAAUUACAGAGGGAUGCGAAGGUGCGAGCUGGAGCGAAACUCAAAAAGGUAAUCUUAGUCCGGAUUGCAGUCUGCAACUCGACUGCAUGAAGUCGGAAUCGCUAGUAAUCGCAGGUCAGAAUACUGCUGUGAAUACGUUCCCGGGUCUUGUACACACCUCCCGUCACACCAUGGGAGUGGGUUGCUCCAGAAGGAGAUAGCUUAAC